UACGUAGGGUGCAAGCGUUGUCCGGAAUUAUUGGCGUAAAGAGCUCGUAGGCGGUCUGUCGCGUCGGCUGUGAAAACCCGGAGCUCAACUCCGGGCCUGCAGUCGAUACGGGCAGACUGGAGUUCGGCAGGGGAGACUGGAAUUCCUGGUGUAGCGGUGAAAUGCGCAGAUAUCAGGAGGAACACCGGUGGCGAAGGGCGGGGUCUCUGGGGCCGAUGACUGACGCUGAGGAGCGAAAGCGUGGGGAGCGAACAGG
rnacentral:rRNA from 1 species